UUAACUGAUCCAGAGGAUUGCUACAUUUC
rnacentral:piRNA from 1 species